CCAUACAUAAUAUUUUAGCAUAAGUCAUUACUUCAGAGGAUUGCAGGCCAUAAGUGAAUCCUCAAACAGGAGAGCUCAAGCUUCUCCUGCCCAAGAUGAUUGGCUUAAUUCUGAUGGUCUCUGUGCCUGACAAAUAGAGGCGAGAGACCUCUGUCUGGCUUCUUCUGUCUGUUCCCUCUACCUGAAGAUGAAGAACCAACUCCCAUUUUCACACCUGAUCCUCCUUCUUGAAACUUCACUCUGUUUGUACCCUGUCUCUUUGAAGUUUUCCCUGUCUCCUUGUUUGACUGGGACAGUUUGCUCUCCUGCCUUGGAGCAAGUUCCUAGGUUAACCUCACUCUAGCCUAGUCUGAGAAUGGUCAGACUAGGCUAUGGUCAUGAGUCUCUUGGGUAUCUAGAAAAUGAACAUGGAACCAAAGGAGAUUGGUUUAUCUAUUUAAAGCAGACAGCGGAGAUGCUGGAAAUAUGUUCAAGAAAAUUCAGUGCAGGGUUGGGGUUGUAGCUCAGUGGUAGAGUGCUCGCCUUACAUAUGUGAAGCCCUGGGUUCAGUCCUCAGUACCACAUAAAAAUAAAUAAAUUAAAUAAAGGCAUUAUGUCCAUUUAUAACUAAAAAAUAUUUAAAAAAUUCAGUGCAGGCCUGACUUAUGAGGUAGGGUGUGUUAGCAGUGCUGAGGGCUAGACCUUCUACACCAGUAGCUUUCCCUUACUCUUUCUUUUUCUGUUCUCCUGUUGUCCAAGGUGGCUUUUC
rnacentral:lncRNA from 1 species